UCCUGUUUCCUGUUUCCGUUCGGAGGGAAAACAGAGCGGAACCACACGUGUGUCUGUGGCAUAGCGUGGGUUCCACUGGAGUGUUUUUACUUUAAUUAAACAACGAGAAGUCCAGUUAUUACCAGAUACUCGCUCACGAGGAUCGAGAGAACCGGACCGGUGAACCGAAUCACUUCAGUGAUUCUUUAACACUCGUGUGAAAGAGUCGCUGCUUCAUCAUAGAAUCACAGAUCAGCUCAAGUGCAGGGACACAGGUCUUCAUCAUGGUCUUCUUCACGUGUAACGCCUGCGGCGAGUCUCUGAAGAAAGCUCAAGUGGAGAAACACGUGCUGAAGUGCCGAGCCUGCCAGGUUUUGUCCUGCAUCGACUGCAGCAAAGACUUCUGGGGAGAUGAUUACAAGAACCACAACAAGUGCAUCAGUGAAGACCAGAAGUAUGGUGGUAAAGACGUCCAGGUGAAGGCAAACAAAGGUGAUGUGAAGCAGCAGCAGUGGAUUCAGAGGAUCCAGCAGGCCAUGGAGCAGCCCGGUCUCAAGCCCAACGUCUGGAAGAUCCUGCAGAUGGUCAGCACUCAUAAUAAUGUGCCACGCAAGAAAGCCAAGUUUGAGAACUGGAUGAGGAACUGUCUAAAGAUCUACGACCCAUUAUUACUGGACAAGGUCUGGGAGAUUUGCUCAACAGCUGCCAACAAUAACAGUAACCAAAUCAACCAUCAGGCGGCUAGUGAAUGUGAAAGCAGAAGUGACCCCAACGACUGUGCUGAGACGAACAAAAACAGUGAUGAAAAGAAAAAGAGAAAGACUGAUGAUACGUUAGAUGAGCAGAAUGGAGAAAACACAGAUGAGAGCAAGUGCAGGGGAGAUGAUUACAAGAACCACAACAAGUGCAUCAGUGAAGACCAGAAGUAUGGUGGUAAAGACGUCCAGGUGAAGGCAAACAAAGGUGAUGAGAAGCAGCAGCAGUGGAAUCAGAGGAUCCAGCAGGCCUUGGAGCAACCUGAUGUAGAGACCAGCGUGCGAAAGAUCGUGCAGAAGGUCAGCACUCAUGAUAAUGUGCCACGCAAGAAAGCCAAGUUUGAGAAAUGGAUAAAGAACGGUCUAAAGAUCUACGACCCAUUAUUACUGGACAAGGUCUGGGAGAUUUGCUCAACAGCUGCCAACAAUAACGACAACCAUCAGACGACGAACAACUGCACUGAGACGAAUGAAAACAGUGAGCGGAAAAAUAAGAAGAGCAAGAGAAACGCUUCAGAGGAACAGAACGGAGAGAAAACAGAGGAGAAACAGAGGAGAAAAAAGAGGAAACGAGGAGAAGAGAAAGAACAGAUCACAGAGGAAAAGAGCAGCAAGAAACAGAAGAAAAGAAAACGGGAGGCUCUUGAAGAGACUGUGAAUCUGGAGAGGGAGGAGCCAGAGAACCACGAGUCUGAAUCAAACUCUGCAGGGAAGUUUCACUGGAAAGGAACGAUAAAGGCGGUUCUGAGAGACGCUUCCGAGGACGGACUGGCGGUCAAGAAGCUCCGGAAGAAGGUUUUAGCGGCGUACCACUCGUUCUCUGGAGACUCGAACUUCAGAUCAGAAGAAGAGCUUCUGUCUCUGUUCAACAGAAAGAUCAACAAGAACCCAAAGUUUAAGAUCCUUAAAGACAAAGUCAGACUGGUCAAAUGAUGGAGGCUGCUCUUCAUCAUCAUCAUCAUCAUCAUCAUCACCUCUAGCUGUAAUAAAUGCUGCUCAGUGAUUGGAGUCUGGAUCAUUGUUUCAUUAAUUUCUUUUUUUAAUUCUACAGUACAAAACACCAUUAUACACCAUUAUAAAACCAAACAAAGCAAGUUCUACAGGUGUCAUGGUUUAACUACA